rnacentral:rRNA from 1 species
GAUGAACGCUAGCGGGAGGCCUAACACAUGCAAGCCGAGCGGUAUUUGUCUUUCGGGACAGAGAGAGCGGCGUACGGGUGCGGAACACGUGUGCAACCUGCCUUUAUUUGGGGGAUAGCCUUUCGAAAGGAAGAUUAAUACCCCAUAAUAUAAUGAAUGGCAUCAUUUAUUAUUGAAAACUCCGGUGGAUAGAGAUGGGCACGCGCAAGAUUAGAUAGUUGGUGAGGUAACGGCUCACCAAGUCGAUGAUCUUUAGGGGGCCUGAGAGGGUGAUCCCCCACACUGGUACUGAGACACGGACCAGACUCCUACGGGAGGCAGCAGUGAGGAAUAUUGGACAAUGGGUUAGCGCCUGAUCCAGCCAUCCCGCGUGAAGGACGACGGCCCUAUGGGUUGUAAACUUCUUUUGUACAGGGAUAAACCUACUCUCGUGAGAGUAGCUGAAGGUACUGUACGAAUAAGCACCGGCUAACUCCGUGCCAGCAGCCGCCGUAA